GACGUAGGGCGCGAGCGUUGUCCGGAUUUAUUGGGCGUAAAGAGCUCGUAGGCGGUUUGUCGCGUCGUUCGUGAAAACUCACAGCUUAACUGUGAGCUUGCGGUCGAUACGGGCAGGCUAGAGUUCGGUAGGGGAGACUGGAAUUCCUGGUGUAGCGGUGAAAUGCGCAGAUAUCAGGAGGAACACCGGUGGCGAAGGCGGGUCUCUGGGCCGAUACUGACGCUGAGGAGCGAAAGCGUGGGGAGCGAACAGG
rnacentral:rRNA from 1 species